AUUGAACGCUGGCGGCAGGCCUAACACAUGCAAGUCGAACGAGCGGCGGACGGGUGAGUAAUGUCUGGGAAACUGCCUGAUGGAGGGGGAUAACUACUGGAAACGGUAGCUAAUACCGCAUACCAUCGGAUGGACCCAGAUGGGAUUAGCUAGUAGGUGGGGUAAAGGCUAACCUAGGCGACGAUCCCUAGCGGGUCUGCGAGGAUGAACAGCCACACGGGGAGUGAGACACGGUGUAGACCCCUAAGUGAGGCAGCAUGGGGGAAGAAUGCAAAAGUGGCGCAAGCCGGAUGCAGCCACGGCGGGUGUAUGAAGAAGGCCUUCGGGUUGUAAAGUACUUUCAGCGGGGAGGCGUUACCCGCAGAAGAAGCACCGGCUAACUCCGUGCCAGCCGCCGCGGUAAUUC
rnacentral:rRNA from 1 species